UACGGAGGAUGCGAGCGUUAUCCGGAUUUACUGGGUGUAAAGGGAGCGUAGACGGUGAUGCAAGUCUGAAGUGAAAGCCCGCGGCUCAACUGCGGAACGGCUUUGGAAACUGAGUAACUGGAGUGCUGGAGGGGCAGGCGGAAUUCCUGGUGUAGCGGUGAAAUGCGUAGAUAUCAGGAGGAACACCGGUGGCGAAGGCGGCCUGCUGGACAGUAACUGACGUUGAGGCUCGAAAGCGUGGGGAGCAAACAGG
rnacentral:rRNA from 1 species